UACAGAGACUCCAAGCGUUAUUCGGAUUUACUGGGCGUAAAGGGUGCGCAGGCGGCCAGGUGUGUCAGAGGUGAAAUACUGCAGCUUAACUGUAGAACUGCCUUUGAAACUACCUGGCUAGAGUAUCGGAGAGGUAAGCGGAAUUCCAGGUGUAGCAGUGAAAUGCGUAGAUAUCUGGAGGAACACCGAUGGCGAAGGCAGCUUACUGGACGAUUACUGACGCUCAGGCACGAAAGCAUGGGGAGCAAAA
rnacentral:rRNA from 1 species